AGGGAUGUAGCUCAUUGGUAGAGCACCUGCCUAGCAUGCAUGAGACUCUGGACUCAGUCCCCAGCACCACUC
rnacentral:tRNA from 1 species